rnacentral:rRNA from 1 species
ACGCUGGCGGCGCGCCUAACACAUGCAAGUCGAACGAUUAAAGCACCUUCGGGUGUGUAUAAAGUGGCGAACGGCUGAGUAACACGUGGGCAACCUGCCCCUCUCAUUGGGAUAGCCACGGGAAACCGUGGAUAAUACCGAAUACUUCGGGACUUCCGCAUGGAAGACUCGAGAAAGCUCCGGCGGAGAGGGAUGGGCCCGCGGCCUGUUAGCUUGUUGGUGGGGUAACGGCCUACCAAGGCAAUGAUGGGUAGCUGGGUUGAGAGACCGACCAGCCAGAUUGGGACUGAGACACGGCCCAGACUCCUACGGGAGGCAGCAGUGGGGAAUCUUGCACAAUGGGCGAAAGCCUGAUGCAGCGACGCCGCGUGCGGGAUGAAGGCCUUCGGGUUGUAAACCGCUUUCAGCAGGGACGAGGCGAAAGUGACGGUACCUGCAGAAGAAGCCCCGGCUAACUACGUGCCAGCAGCCGCGGUAAUACGUAGGGGGCAAGCGUUAUCCGGAUUCAUUGGGCGUAAAGCGCUCGUAGGCGGUCUGUUAGGUCGGGAGUUAAAUCCGGGGGCUCAACCCCCGUUCGCUCCCGAUACCGGCAGACUUGAGUUUGGUAGGGGAAGGUGGAAUUCCUAGUGUAGCGGUGGAAUGCGCAGAUAUUAGGAAGAACACCAGUGGCGAAGGCGGCCUUCUGGGCCAUAACUGACGCUGAGGAGCGAAAGCUAGGGGAGCAAACAGGAUUAGAUACCCUGGUAGUCCUAGCCGUAAACGAUGGACACUAGGUGUGGGGGAAUAUUUCUUCCGUGCCGCAGCUAACGCAUUAAGUGUCCCGCCUGGGGAGUACGGCCGCAAGGCUAAAACACAAAGGAAUUGACGGGGGCCCGCACAAGCAGCGGAGCAUGUGG